AUGUACACAUUUUAGUUAGUUGCAUGUGUUAAAGGUGUUUGAUGUGUUUGUCUGUGUUUUUAGAGCUUGGACUCGACUCAUUUGGCAUCAUCUGUGUUAGAGUCAGGAAAGCAGCUGCUUCAGGAGAUCACCGAAUACUCCCAGCAAUCCUUCAAAAAAACAUUAUCAGAGGAGCAAGAUGGGGUCAGGAUCAUGUUUUUUAGUUAUCCUAGAACUUUUGGGAUAGUGUGUCACAUAAUCAUAAUACUUUUUUAAUUUCCAGAAGAAAACAGCUCUCACCAAUGAGGAGCCCAGUGAACAGCAAAAGGCUUUAGAGGCCAUAAUCAUGAAAAACAUGCGAGCUGAAGCUUUAGGAAAUAAUGAUGUCACUUCCAGUAUAAAAAUAGGUACAGAAUUUUUCAAGACCUCAUAGCAGAAAUCUCACAAUAGCUGCAUUAUAUGAUAUAGUCUAACUUAAAAUGUUGUGAAUCAUUAUUAGUGUUUGUUAAUUGAUAUUUAUAAUGUAAUUUAUUCCCCUCCAGAGUUUAUUUAAAUAUGCGGCUUUCUUUUUAUCAUCAAAGCUAAAGAUAUUCUGCUUAAUAUUUUGCAGGGCCUCAUGGAUGUGACCUGUCGGGACAGGAAGACCCUGUUGUACUUUACAUGGUGAUUGAAAACAGUCCUCUCCAUCAUGCCUUUAAAGAGGGUAAUUAAUACAUAACAUACUUGAGAUAAAAUCUGAUCCACUGAAUGACAUAUAAUAUACUAAUGUACAGUAUGUGUUUGUCUGUGUAUGUUUGAUUAAGUGAUGAAGCUCAAGCAGAAGUCUCGUUUCCUGGAGUUUGUUGUGCACUUGCUUCAGAAAGCUUUGCUAGAAGAUGAGCUGGAUCUGGUUUUGGAGUGGAAGCAAAACAUCUUGAACUGGCUUAGCAGACGCGACGAUGCUCUGUUUGAGCUAAAGAAACACUCAGGUUUGCCAGUGGAGGAAACUAAAGACUUCACAGCCUCUGUGAUAGAGUUUAACGCCAAGGUAAGCUUAUGUUUCUGUUGAUUUACUCAAAUGCCAACUUUGCUUACAUUUAUUGCUUCAUUCUUUUCUUUAGGUUUAUAAAUGUCAUUAAAGUUUAAUUCCACUUUAUAGUAGUGGAUUAACGAAGAUUAUUAAACUUUGGGUGUCAUAAAAUGCAAGUUAAAGGGUUCUGGCAUAUUGAAAGUCAAAUAAAAAUAAAUAGGCACAACAAAAUGAAUAACCGUGGCUCUGAAGGGUACAUUGAGGUCUUAUGAACUGAAAAUAUCUGUCUCUGCAGGAAUUAUUACCUGUUAUUACUUUAAUCUACAGCAAACGGAGUAUGAGUGUGUUUAUGACAGUCUGAAGUAUGAGCUUUUUUUACAUUAUGAAAUAUAUCAAAUGUCGAGAAUCUGAAAUCUUCCCAGAUGUGAUCAUGUAUGCAUUCAUAGGAGCUCAGUGUAUUGUCAGGAUCCAAGGCUUCAACUUAAAAUUUACAAAAAUGCACUGAAGAAAAAAAUCACAUUUCUCAGAUUUCAGUUUUUUUUUGGGUGAACUUUGAAAUUAUGUUGCAGAAACAAAAAGGUGACAAGAGCGGCAGGAAGUUGCUACAGAAAAAACUACUCAACGCAAUGAAGUGCCAAAUUUCUGAAAGGUGAAGAAAAAUCUGCCCGGAUUUGAAAAUACAGAAAUAUUUUAUAUUGUUUUUUAAUGCAUAAUUGU
ensembl:lincRNA